rnacentral:misc_RNA from 1 species
GAUGAAGAACGCAGCGAAAUGCGAUAAGUAAUGUGAAUUGCAGAAUUCAGUGAAUCAUCGAAUCUUUGAACGCACAUUGCGCCCCUUGGUAUUCCGAGGGGCAUGCCUGUUCGAGCGUCAUAUUAACCACUCCCGCUUGCGGGGUCUUGGGCUUCGCCUCCGGGCGGGCCUUAAAAUCAGUGGCGGUGCCGUCGGGCUCUACGCGUAGUAAAUUUUCUCGCGAUAGGGUCCCGGUGGAUGCUUGCCAACAACCCCCAACUUCUUAAGGUUGACCUCGGAUCAGGUAGGGAUACCCGCUGAACUUAAGCAUACCAAUAAGCGGAGGA